rnacentral:rRNA from 1 species
GACAGAGGGUGCAAACGUUGUUCGGAAUUACUGGGCGUAAAGCGCGUGUAGGCUGCUCGGUAAGUCGGAUGUGAAAGCCCUGGGCUCAACCUAGGAAGUGCAUUCGAAACUUCCGAGCUGGAGUGCUGGAGAGGAGGGCGGAAUUCUCGGUGUAGAGGUGAAAUUCGUAGAUAUCGAGAGGAACACCGGUGGCGAAGGCGGCCUUCUGGACAGUGACUGACGCUGAGACGCGAAAGCGUGGGGAGCGAACAGG